ACGAGACACGUGAAACCUUGUGGGAAGCAGGGAGGACCACCUCCCAAGGCUAAAUACUACCUGAUGACCGAUAGUGAAGCAGUACCGUGAGGGAAAGGUGAAAAGAACCCCGGGAGGGGAGUGAAAUAGAACCUGAAACCGUGUGCCUACAACCGCUCAGAGCCCCUUAUGAGGGUGAUGAGGUGCUUUUUGUAGAACGAGCCAACGAGUUACGGUAUGUAGCAAGGUUAAGUACUUAAGGUACGGAGCCGAAGGGAAACCGAGUCUGAAUAGGGCGACUAGUUGCAUGCCGUAGACCCGAAACCGGGUGACCUAUCCAUGGCCAGGUUGAAGCGAGGGUAAAACCUCGUGGAGGACCGAACCACGUUGCUGUUGAAAAAGCAUGGGAUGAGCUGUGGAUAGCGGAGAAAUUCCAAUCGAACCCGGAGAUAGCUGGUUCUCUCCGAAAUAGCUUUAGGGCUAGCGUCGAGUAUGAGUAGUGGAGGUAGAGCACUGAAUGGGCUAGGGGGCAUAGCGCUUACCGAACCUUAUCAAACUCCGAAUGCCACAUACUUUGAGCUCGGCAGUCAGACUACGAAUGAUAAGAUCCGUGGUCAAAAGGGAAACAGCCCAGAUCGUCAGC
rnacentral:rRNA from 1 species